UACGUAGUGUCCGAGCGUUAUCGGGCAUCAUUGGGCGGAGAGAGCGCGUAGGCGGUUCAGCAAGUCGGCUGUGAAAGUCCGAGGCUCAACCUCGGAAUUGCAGUCGAUACUGCUGUGACUCGAGUCCGGUAGAGGAGAGUGGAAUUCUCGGUGUAGCGGUGAAAUGCGCAGAUAUCGAGAGGAACACCAGUAGCGAAGGCGGUUCUCUGGGCCGGCACUGACGCUGAGGAGCGAAAGCGUGGGGAGCAAACAGG
rnacentral:misc_RNA from 1 species